AUUGAACGCUGGCGGCAUGCUUUACACAUGCAAGUCGAACGGUAACAGGGAGCUUGCUCCGCUGACGAGUGGCGAACGGGUGAGUAAUGCAUCGGAACGUACCCAGUCGUGGGGGAUAACGUAGCGAAAGUUACGCUAAUACCGCAUACGUCCUGAGGGAGAAAGCGGGGGACCGUAAGGCCUCGCGCGAUUGGAGCGGCCGAUGUCGGAUUAGCUAGUUGGUAGGGUAAAGGCCUACCAAGGCGACGAUCCGUAGCGGGUCUGAGAGGAUGAUCCGCCACACUGGGACUGAGACACGGCCCAGACUCCUACGGGAGGCAGCAGUGGGGAAUUUUGGACAAUGGGCGAAAGCCUGAUCCAGCCAUGCCGCGUGAGUGAAGAAGGCCUUCGGGUUGUAAAGCUCUUUCAGCCGGAAAGAAAUCGCGCAGGAUAACACUCUGCGUGGAUGACGGUACCGGAAGAAGAAGCACCGGCUAACUACGUG
rnacentral:rRNA from 1 species